AUUGAAUGCUGGCGGCAUGCCUUACACAUGCAAGUCGAACGGUAACAGGUCUUCGGAUGCUGACGAGUGGCGAACGGGUGAGUAAUACAUCGGAACGUGCCUAGUAGUGGGGGAUAACUACUCGAAAGAGUGGCUAAUACCGCAUGAGAUCUACGGAUGAAAGCAGGGGAUCGCAAGACCUUGUGCUACUAGAGCGGCCGAUGGCAGAUUAGGUAGUUGGUGGGAUAAAAGCUUACCAAGCCGACGAUCUGUAGCUGGUCUGAGAGACGAUCAGCCACACUGGGACUGGGACACGGCCCAGACUCCUACGGGAGGCAGCAGUGGGGAAUUUUGGACAAUGGGCGAAAGCCUGAUCCAGCAAUGCCGCGUGCAGGAUGAAGGCCUUCGGGUUGUAAACUGCUUUUGUACGGAACGAAAAGCCCCGGGUUAAUACCCUGGGGUCAUGACGGUACCGUAAGAAUAAGCACCGGCUAACUACGUGCCAGCCGCCGCCGUAA
rnacentral:rRNA from 1 species